rnacentral:tRNA from 1 species
AAAGUCUUAAGUUAAUUUAAACUAUUAGCCUUCAAAGUUGAAAAUGAAAAGUUUUAGGCUUUG